GAUGAACGCUGGCGGCGUACCUAAUACAUGCAAGUCGAGCGAACAGACGAGGAGCUUGCUCCUUUGACGUUAGCGGCGGACGGGUGAGUAACACGUGGGUAACCUACCUAUAAGACUGGGAUAACUUCGGAAAACCGGAGCUAAUACCGGAUAAUAUUUCGAACCGCAUGGUUCGAUAGUGAAAGAUGGCUUUGCUAUCACUUAUAGAUGGACCUGCGCCGUAUUAGCUAGUUGGUAAGGUAACGGCUUACCAAGGCAACGAUACGUAGCCGACCUGAGAGGGUGAUAGCCCACACUGGAGCUGGGACACGGUCCAGACUCCUACGGGAGGCAGCAGUAGGGAAUCUGCCGCAAUGGGCGAAAGCCUGACGGAGCAACGCCGCGUGAGUGAUGAAGGUCUUCGGAUCGUAAAACUCUGUUAUUAGGGAAGAACAAACGUGUAAGUAACUGUGCACGUCUUGACGGUACCUAAUCAGAAAGCCACGGCUAACUACGUG
rnacentral:rRNA from 1 species